rnacentral:lncRNA from 1 species
GAAGGUCCGCAGGAGUAUAAUGCAUUCCGUAUGGAAAACUCACUGGGGAAACAGAGACUCUUGGGGAAAAAGGAUUUAUGCGCAUGCCAAGCUACGACUCAAAACUACUGGGGGACUCGAGGGAUUCCAUGCAAACAUGGAAAAGACUCAAUCGGGGAGCUAACAACAUCUGCAGGGGAUACAAGUAAGUCAGGAUAAAACUGAGGUACUCGACUCAUGCAGGGGAAAAGCAAUUUCACUAAGGAAAUGCACA